AGACCAUGAACCCACCAUAAGCAAGAAGGAACAAACUCCGGACACACCAUCUUUGAGAACUGUAACACUCACCGCAAGGGUCCACGGCUUCAUUCUUGAAGUCAGCGAGACCAAGAGCCCACCAAUUCCGGACACAUAAUCACCGGGAGGACCCAGACACACGCAGAGGUAAGAGCAUUUAAAGAUGGAAAGAAGAUUACUGUCUACAAGACAAGGAAAGAGGCCGUAGAAGAAACCAACCAGGCCAAAACUUUGAUCUCAGACUUCUAGCCUUCAGAACAAGAGCACUGUGAGAAAAUAAUCAUGUUCAUGGUGAUUUCUAAUCAUCUCCCAAUGGUGCUCAGUGGCAUUAUAGGAGCUACGACUAAUACAAAAAUCAGAAGUAUUCCAAUCACAUUGCAUUUGAAUUCUAUGCUCCAAGUUCAUAAUCCAUUCUCCCAUCCAAAUUACUGUUUGACAGAGAUCAUUAAUUUGAUAUGCCAAUUUUUGAUCUAUUUGGCAUUGGGAAUUCCAAAGCUUAGAAGAAUUUUUCUGCCAACUAUCCACAAAGCCUGCAGUUUGAAUAGAAGAGUGCAAAGCAACACCAGCAGCAGCAGCAGUAGCUGUAACAGCUAUAAGGCCCAGGAUCACAGCUAUUAAAGUAAAUAUGAAUCUGUUUGAUCU